rnacentral:rRNA from 1 species
AUUGAACGCUGGCGGCAUGCUUUACACAUGCAAGUCGAACGGUAACAGGUCUUCGGAUGCUGACGAGUGGCGAACGGGUGAGUAAUACAUCGGAACGUGCCUAGUAGUGGGGGAUAACUACUCGAAAGAGUAGCUAAUACCGCAUGAGAUCUACGGAUGAAAGCAGGGGACCUUCGGGCCUUGUGCUACUAGAGCGGCUGAUGGCAGAUUAGGUAGUUGGUGGGGUAAAGGCUUACCAAGCCUGCGAUCUGUAGCUGGUCUGAGAGGACGACCAGCCACACUGGGACUGAGACACGGCCCAGACUCCUACGGGAGGCAGCAGUGGGGAAUUUUGGACAAUGGGCGAAAGCCUGAUCCAGCAAUGCCGCGUGCAGGAUGAAGGCCCUCGGGUUGUAAACUGCUUUUGUACGGAACGAAAAGCCUGGGGCUAAUACCCCCGGGUCAUGACGGUACCGUAAGAAUAAGCACCGGCUAACUACGUGCCAGCAGCCGCGGUAAUACGUAGGGUGCAAGCGUUAAUCGGAAUUACUGGGCGUAAAGCGUGCGCAGGCGGUUUUGUAAGACAGUGGUGAAAUCCCCGGGCUCAACCUGGGAACUGCCAUUGUGACUGCAAAGCUAGAGUGCGGCAGAGGGGGAUGGAAUUCCGCGUGUAGCAGUGAAAUGCGUAGAUAUGCGGAGGAACACCGAUGGC